ACACUUUUUCUUUUUCUUCUUCCUAAUUAUGUUUCAUUUGGAUAUUAUUUUUUUGAAUUUCAAACAGUCAAAGUUUAAAUAGUUCUAAGUCAAGUUAGAAGAAAUUGAAGUAACUGGUGAAGCAUCCUUCAUGCUGAAAAAGAUGUUAUCCUACUACCUUAUGCACAAGUUAACUUUUCCUGGCUUUCUCUUCUUUUUUGGUAUGUUGUGAAGUUAGUUAUGAGGAUUUAUGCAGCUUUAGGUGGCAAACUGCAUGCAGUAAAACUAAACGAGGAAAUGACCUUCUCUUUUUGGUAUUUGGUUGCUAAAGUAUGUUUUCAUUUUUAAAGUGCUUGAUCUUAAAGAGGAGUGUGAUAGGUAAUAAUCGGCAUCAGUUUGGUGUUUUCCUUAUCUUUAUUGAAGUAAGUUAUUUGAAAACAUGGCUGAUUUGUGUGAAGGGAGUGUUUAUUUCUCAAAUUUUUUGGUGUUAUAACUGAUGGAUCUCUUGUUUGUUGUGCUUGUCAUAUGGCUGAUUAUUUUUUUCCUUUGAACACUGAACCAAUGGCCUCCGUUCAUUUUGCAAAAGGAAUAGUGUUGGGGCAAUCCUAAUAUGCAAAUUUAUGUACGUGUGCAUCUGCUAUUAAAAUUUCUUGCUUUUCAAGAAUUAGUGUGAACUUCUUUAUCCAUCAUAGCUGGCAUUAUAUAAAAGAUGCAUGGAAAGAUGUGCAGAAUUAACAUGUGAGAUCAUAGCCUAAGCAGCAGCAAGAGCAUUUACUCUCCAGAUGAGGGAGAUCAAGUAGUGACACAAUGAAGGUUUGUCAGGGAGGGUGGCUUACGAUGGAACGCCUUGAUAAAUUUUUGGAGCACAAUGAUACCGCCAACCAAUGAGAUAUAUGUUUGCUUUUGUAUUUAUCUCGUGCUCAGAUUAGCAAUCACGCAGUGAAGUCGGGAAGAGAGCAGUCCAGUUGACAACAAACGAAGGGGAGAGAUCAGCAUGGGAUCAUGUUUCUAGCUUUUGAGGCAAACUCAGAGGAACUUUCCAUAUCCAUAUCAUUGUUGAAAUCGUGACAUUUUAUGGUGAGAAGAAACUUUUUUGUGUCGGUAAAUUACAACGGGCUCUCUUGAGGUUCGUCAUAAUUAUAAAUACUUUCUCGCCCUUGAGGUUUGUUAUAACUACAAACACCCUCUCAUUUUUUGAAAAAUUACAAAUACCUCCUUGUGAUAGCCAUCAUAAGGGGUAUUUGUUAGGAUUAUUUGUAAUUUCAGGGGAAUAUUUAUAAAUUUUUUAAAACACGAGUUAUUUAUAAUUAUGACAAAUUUAAGAAAAACUCAUCACAAUUUAUCCCCUUUUUAUUUAUUUUCCCCUUUCUUUGUUCAAUCGGUCUAUUAAAAGCAAGGACAAGCAUAGUGGGAGAUACUUCUAUUAUGAAACCAAAAAUAUAAUAUAUAUUGAGAAUUUAUUUAGGGUGUGGUGGUCAAAUUGUACAAGUAACAUUUGAAAUCACCACACCAUACAUGUGAGAUAUAUGUUCCAACUUGCAGCCCAAAAUCUUUUCCUCACUAUUUGUUGAAAUGUUAAAUGAAGAAACUGAGCGAUAUGGGUUGGAGUGUCAUCAGACGUGUGCUGAUAUUUAUAACAUUUUAUAUGAAUUUAUUUAUUAUUUUUAAUUAUAUUGAUGUAUUAGUCGAAUACAUAUGAUAAUGUAUCGAUGAAACUGGUAUACAUGUAAGGUUUGAAUUUGAAACCAGCACACCAAAAAUGUGAGAUAUGUCU